rnacentral:rRNA from 1 species
AAAUUGAAGAGUUUGAUCAUGGCUCAGAUUGAACGCUGGCGGCAGGCCUAACACAUGCAAGUCGAACGGUAACAGGAAUCAGCUUGCUGAUUCGCUGACGAGUGGCGGACGGGUGAGUAAUGUCUGGGAAACUGCCCGAUGGAGGGGGAUAACUACUGGAAACGGUAGCUAAUACCGCAUAACGUCGCAAGACCAAAGAGGGGGACCUUCGGGCCUCUUGCCAUCGGAUGUGCCCAGAUGGGAUUAGCUAGUAGGUGGGGUAACGGCCCACCUAGGCGACGAUCCCUAGCUGGUCUGAGAGGAUGACCAGCCACACUGGAACUGAGACACGGUCCAGACUCCUACGGGAGGCAGCAGUGGGGAAUAUUGCACAAUGGGCGCAAGCCUGAUGCAGCCAUGCCGCGUGUAUGAAGAAGGCCUUCGGGUUGUAAAGUACUUUCAGCGGGGAGGAAGGGAGUAAAGUUAAUACCUUUGCUCAUUGACGUUACCCGCAGAAGAAGCACCGGCUAACUCCGUGCCAGCAGCCGCGGUAAUACGGAGGGUGCAAGCGUUAAUCGGAAUUACUGGGCGUAAAGCGCACGCAGGCGGUCUGUUAAGUCAGAUGUGAAAUCCCCGGGCUCAACCUGGGAACUGCAUCUGAUACUGGCAGGCUUGAGUCUCGUAGAGGGGGGUAGAAUUCCAGGUGUAGCGGUGAAAUGCGUAGAGAUCUGGAGGAAUACCGGUGGCGAAGGCGGCCCCCUGGACGAAGACUGACGCUCAGGUGCGAAAGCGUGGGGAGCAAACAGGAUUAGAUACCCUGGUAGUCCACGCCGUAAACGAUGUCGACUUGGAGGUUGUGCCCUUGAGGCGUGGCUUCCGGAGCUAACGCGUUAAGUCGACCGCCUGGGGAGUACGGCCGCAAGGUUAAAACUCAAAUGAAUUGACGGGGGCCCGCACAAGCGGUGGAGCAUGUGGUUUAAUUCGAUGCAACGCGAAGAACCUUACCUGGUCUUGACAUCCACAGAACUUUCCAGAGAUGGAUUGGUGCCUUCGGGAACUGUGAGACAGGUGCUGCAUGGCUGUCGUCAGCUCGUGUUGUGAAAUGUUGGGUUAAGUCCCGCAACGAGCGCAACCCUUAUCCUUUGUUGCCAGCGGUCCGGCCGGGAACUCAAAGGAGACUGCCAGUGAUAAACUGGAGGAAGGUGGGGAUGACGUCAAGUCAUCAUGGCCCUUACGACCAGGGCUACACACGUGCUACAAUGGCGCAUACAAAGAGAAGCGACCUCGCGAGAGCAAGCGGACCUCAUAAAGUGCGUCGUAGUCCGGAUUGGAGUCUGCAACUCGACUCCAUGAAGUCGGAAUCGCUAGUAAUCGUGGAUCAGAAUGCCACGGUGAAUACGUUCCCGGGCCUUGUACACACCGCCCGUCACACCAUGGGAGUGGGUUGCAAAAGAAGUAGGUAGCUUAACCUUCGGGAGGGCGCUUACCACUUUGUGAUUCAUGACUGGGGUGAAGUCGUAACAAGGUAACCGUAGGGGAACCUGCGGUUGGAUCACCUCCUUACCUUAAAGAAGC